UUUGCACUUCCUGUAUGCACCUUUUCCUUUUAAGGGUUUUAUCGACUAUUUAUUCUCUCCUCUCUGAUAGAGGAAAUCAAACAAAAUUUGGUGGCGACUCUUCUAUUUUUUCCUUUUCUUUCACUUUGAUCGAGGAGUCAUUCUUUUAGUUCAGUCUUUCCAGCUUCGUACACCCAAUCGAAACCUCGGUUGUGAGUACUGGCGACUCAUCUGGGGAAUGAAAUUCCCUAAGCAAGUCUAGUCUAGUUUAGGUUGUCCUUUUUUUAGCGUAUAUGAGGAUUUAUC
rnacentral:lncRNA from 1 species